UCGAGAAUCAUUCGCAAUGGGCGAAAGCCUGACGAUGCGACGCUGUGUGUAUGAUGAAGGCCUUCGGGUUGUAAAGUACUUUCGCCUGGGAACAAGGGAGAUCUGCUAACAUCAGGUUAACUUGAGGGUACCAGGUAAAGAAGCACCGGCUAACUACGUGCCAGCAGCUGCGGUAAUACGUAGGGUGCAAGCAUUAAUCGGAUUUAUUGGGCGUAAAGGGCGCGUAGGCUGGAGCGUAAGUCAGAUGUGAAAUCCCGGGGCUCAACCCCGGAAUAGCAUUUGAAACUGCGUUUCUAGAGGGUAGGCGGAGAAAACAGAAUUCCACAAGUAGCGGUGAAAUGCGUAGAUAUGUGGAAGAAUACCUGUGGCGAAGGCGGUUUUCUAGCUUACACCUGACGCUGAGGCGCGAAAGCAAGGGGAUCAAACAG
rnacentral:rRNA from 1 species